rnacentral:lncRNA from 1 species
GGUUUCCCUCUAAUAGUUCAAUUGAAGAAUACAUAUAGAUACAUCAUAGGGAGCCAUUGCGGCAACCUUGUGUUUUUGUCGUCAAUCUUGUCAGUACUUCUUUUUGGGUGCCUACCUUUUCCUUGUAAGUACACAUCAUCAUGUUGUCUUCAUGUCAACCUUUAUAUGUGUAUGCAUGCAUUAACUACUGAUGUACUAAUGAAAAUUAUAUUCCAAUAGGUAGUCUUGCACUCUCUAAGGUCAGGGAUACAAGAACCUACCAAAAUAAUCUAACCAAUAAAAAUUCAAAUGCUUUUGUGCUAAAAAACACAUUGGUAGCUAAGAUCAAUGUCACAUUGCACUUCUGUCUCAAGUAUCCCUACGGGGAGUUUAUGUGCCAUUGCUGUGAGAUCCAAAAGCUGGAGCAUAUUUGCCAUGCAACAAGGGAUGCUUGUUUGGACGCUUGCCCCACAUGCAACCUUGUUUGCCCCCCGUAGCCACAACUUCAAACCACUAAUGGAGAGAACAAUUAUUAAUGUAAUGGUGUGCAAUAUAUAUAAUCAUUAAAUAUUCUCCUAGCAUGUCUUCAGUUUGUCUGCAGCUAUUUUUUUAUUCAUGUCAUAUGUUGAUCUACUCUGUCACAGUUGUACCAAGAGAACGUCCCUACUACGACACAAGGGAGAAAGGUCUCCCUUAGAGGGUGCCUUCUUGGAGUCCACAAGUAGUGCUUUAUUGGCAGACAGCUCAUGGGCAGCCGCCACCUGGUCUGCCUCAUUGUCUUAGUCAUAGAAGUCUUCACAUCACCAUGCAAGAAGAGGACUCCGUUGGGAGUUGGCAUCUUUGGGAUGAGGUAGGUGUGGUUAGGGAUCACCAAGAACAUGGUGAGCAUUGGCUUGCCGAAGAUGGCGUGGCAGGACGUCUUGAAGUUGGCCACCUCGAAUGUGAGGUGCUCGAUGCGGUAGUUGUCUUGUGUCCUGAAUGUGACAUGGAGUGUGACUCUCCUAACCGAGUAUGAUCCCUUAUAGGGAUGAUACCGAAGAAGGGUGGUCACGGGGCACCAAUUUGGUGAGGUCGUACUGCAUGCACUCUAGGGUCUUGGUGAAGAUGAUGUUGAGGCCAUUGCCUCUGUUGAUCUUAGUGAGAAGAACUCUACAGACACUAGGCCCAAAGGUUGAGUAUGUGGAUCCAGUAAUCAGCCUAGGAAAAGACUAUAGCCAUUUCUAACUAGUGGAGGUACUGGACAAGGGUGGUGGAGACCAUGUUGAUCUCUCAGCUGUGGAGCUUCUUCUUUGGGCAACAUUCGAAAGCACUCGGGCCUCCGAUUAUGAUGUGUACUUCCCACUCUAGGAGCUGGCCAAGUCUUUGUUGGCCUGACUUGGAGGCUACCUGUCGCACCAGUCAUGUUUAUUGCAAUCGUCACAGCCGUGCAGUCGUCAUCGAGCUCGUAUUUACAGUGGGGCCUCUUGUUUGGUGCUUUGUUGCUUGCGUGGCGACUUCUUUCUUUCAGGGUGGAGCAUUCCUUGAGUGUGGCUUUGCAUCCUUGUGCCACGGGUAGGACCUAUUAAGCAUGACGUCCAAUUACUUUUGGAAGAAAGUCGAACUUGAUUUCCCAAGCUCAGCGGCAGCCUCUGUGUUGUCAGCCACCUCAUUACCCACGAGAAACUGGAGAUCCUAUAUAACUUCUGAAAUUUUUUUCUUCCCCAACUUCCAUAAUUGGAUAUUCAUGCAACGACUAAGAUCGUGGGUGGGUGCAUGUGCAUAUCAGGUUUUCUGAGCAAGUGGGCGCAGAUGUGGAGAGUACAAUGGACAGGUGUUUAGCACCAGGUUGGAGGAAGCGGAAGAGAAUCUCUUCGAGUUUUGAACUUCAAAUGCGAUUUUCUCUUAAACCGUAAAUUUGUUUCAAAAUUCGUUUGAACCACUAUGUUAUAUGAAUUUAAUAGAAUAAAUUGGGAUCCAAUAUGUUAUUUUAAAAAUUUUAUUUCUACACUUCAACAUUUCAAUAUACUAGUUCAACAUUCUUAACAUGUCAUUUCAACAUUGUUAAUGUACUAGUUCAACAUUUUUCUAAAAAUAUUGAAUUAAUUUUUCAUAGUGUUAAAUCAGUUUCUUUGAAAUGUUGGCUUAGUUUGACAAAAAUGUUGAAUCUAUUGUUACUAGUAUCAUAGGAGAAAAACUUAAGGUUGCGUUUGGAUGUAGAUAUUCAGGCUUGGAAUUCGGAAUUGUAUUGACACCUCCGAAUGCCGGCUGUUUGGAUGUCGUGGAAUUCGAAAUUGGAAAUGAAGCUCAAUACCAACUUGUAUUCAUCCCACCUUCAUCCCCUCACCCUCAAUGCUGAGCCCGAACCCUCUGUAUUCGCUGGUAUUGUCUUCUUCCCUUCCCCGCAUCUCUCUCGCGCGCCCUUCCUCCUGUGUGAGCUGCGCCUUCGCUCUCCCCUCUCCCUCCCUCCACCGGUGACUUGCGCUGCCCUCUCCUCCCUCCGCUGAUGAGGCGAGCUGAGCCUCCCUCCCCCUCCCUCCGUCCGCAGGCCGCACCCUCCGCCUCCCUCCCUCCGCCGGUGACUCACGCCACCCUCUCCUCCCUCUACUAGUAAGGCGAGCUGCGCCGCCCUUCCCCUCCCUCAGUGUGCAAGCCAUGCUGCCCUGUGCCUCCCUCCCUCCGCCGGCGAGCCACGCCAUCCGUCUAUUCCAUGGACGGGGGAUCUGGAUGGCUUGGAGGAGCUCCGGGGCAGGAAGUUCAAGCACGGCUGCGGCAAAGAGGAGCGUCACGGCGAGGCUUCUCUAUCUCCCACCUCUCUCCCAUGCGGCCAUGCCUGGGGCGGCAACAGGUGCUCAACUCCUAGCGCCAGCAGCGUGCCGCUCCCCUUUGCCGCUGAGCUAGGGGCCGUGUUGCUUCCUUCCGCCACCAGACCGGGCGCUCCUCCCUCCAAUGGAUGCGUCGUUCCCCUCUCUUCAUUGGCGGCGGCAUUGAGUUUGACCGAGUAGAGGCUCCUCGGCGGUGAAGGACGAGUGGCGCAUCGAGCUUGACCGGGCUGUUGGACGGUGGAGAGAGGAUAGAUGACCAAAUUCCAAUUGCUUCCUUUUGCACAUCCAAACGUGAAAUUGAAUUUCACUGCUUCUUACGAUUUCAAAAAAGGAAAUGCAAUAGCCAUCCAAACAAUAGAAUUGGAAUUCUAGCCAUUUCAAUACUAUGGUUGAAUUGGUAUUGGAUCCAAUUCAAUGCCAAAAUCUCCAAUAUCAACAUCCAAACGCACCCUAAAUGAAAUCUUAAUACAAAAAUAAUCAAAUCACCAUGCAUGACUAACGUGAGUGGAUGAGCCCUGUGCUGAUGCCGAAUUGAGCGUAGCUCAACUAUAAGGCUCCUUAUGGUGGAACCUGCCACCGGAGUUCGAGUACUUGCCUCGACAACUCGCAUUUUUCUAAAUUUAUUUCAUGAUUUAACCGGCGCAAUUCUUUCAGUGGUAGGUGAUAUGCCCCUCGACACUGAGGCGUCAGUGGUGACUUUGUUAAUCUCGAGGAUUUGCCGGAUCAGUCUUUUGAAGGUGCUCAUAGGGGUAGGGUUGCAUAUGUGUGUUCGUAGAGGUGAGUGUGUAUACGUGUAUAUAUCUGCAUCUGUACGGUGUGAUUCGAAAAAAAGGCCCUGUGUUGAUGAUUGGCGGCUUGCUUUCGCAUAUACACCGCUGCGUUCCGUGGGCUGAUGUUGGGUUUUAUUGGUAUUUAUAGUUAUAUUCCUUAUACAACUUGGGGAAGCUAUAUAGAGCCCCCGAGAAACAUCCUGAAAUAGAGGUUCUCAAUAUAGAAAAGGGGAAACAAGGAGAGAGGCUUGCCAGAUUGUUGGCCCAUGAUACAGUAUGCAUAAGUAAAACCUGAACGGGCUGGAUUAUCCGGGUUUGAUAGUGCAACAUAGUAGGCAUAACUUUGGCCCAUCCUAAAUCUACUUUGUACAUGAGAGUUGACACCACCUACGAGCCCAAUCAAAGUUGGAAGGUAGGCAUCCAUUGCUGCUGCUGCUGCUUCUUCUUUUUCUCCCCUAUUUUUUCCAUUUCUUUUUUUUUUUUUGGUUCUCACUUGGCCGCCUUUUGUACUUGAGCAUCACAGUCAAUGUAGAGCCCAAGAAUCUAAGAUCAUUGUGUUUCAUGUCUUAAUGCUAUUGGUACCUUGCUGUGAAUCUUCCUUUUGCCUCGCUAGCACUUCUAUGCAUAAACGCAUCGACCCCUAGUACAUUUCUUAAUGAAAAAGUGUGAUUUAUAAACAUGACCUAUUGGGUCGUGUGAAUUAAAAUCAUGAUCCUUCAAGAGUUACUACCUUCCAUUUUUUAACAUCUUGGUACCAACAUUCAAAUUACAUUUUUUGAUGCCUCUGAAUUGCAAGACCGGAACAAGGUUCAUCGGAAAAUAUACAAAGGACAAAAUUGUGACUUCAAGAACUAGACGAUCAUAUAGUGCGUGGAGCAUUUUCGUUCACUUCCCUUAGCCGGCGAUCAUGUUGUGCUUGCGCAAAAGGAAAGUUGGUGAGUGGAUUCGAGAGGGAAUAUGAGAUGAUGGAGAACGUGCCUAGUAGUGCGAGGUAGCUGGUGCGGGGAACGAAUGGACACGGAUCCGACGUCGCAUCAAAGGCCAGAACCGACCGAAACUGAGUGCACUAGCGUAGUACGAUCGAAGGACAAUGACAAUGAACAACAUGUCCAGUUGACGGUGUGGUUCGUCCUGUCGUUCGUUGACAUGCCCUUUUCCUCUUCGAUAAUACAACUGGCAUAGCCGCCUAACUAUUUCAGAGCCAGAUUCAGCAAGUUCAUGCAGAUGGAGGCCUGGAGCCCUUCAUCGGCCAUUCGGCACAACGCACUUGAUGAUUCUGAAGGUUACCAAACGGUCGAAAAGAAAACGAAAUGUUGCAGAAUAUAACCACAAGCACCAUCUGCAUAUCCCGAUCACCAACGGAUGCAUACAUCUUUCAUGCUUUUCAACGGUACAAAGGGAGACCACAUUCUACUCGACCAUACUAGUUAGUUUCAGAGCCUAAAGAGCAAAAGGGUACCAAGUGUCGUUCCUUUUGUGAAUUGUGAUCCUUAAGAAUACAUGCAACACCAUUCUCUGAAUCUCUGAAUCUUUGUGUAGCGUGAACUUGUGCCUUGUGAUCUGUACGAAUACCAUGCAAGACCAUUAUUCGAGAGAGAUUUAUAUGGCAAACAGUACAAAUUUUACUUCAGUCCCAAAUUUUAUCUGGGGGUUAGUGGCUUUGUGCCCAUCGUUGAGAAAUAUAUUGUUUAAUUGCCCUUUGUUGACGAUGCACAAGCUCACGGUACACAAAGGCAUUUGUGCUAUCUAUCCACUCUGUUCUCGACUCAAUGCAAGAUAGUGGCCUUGAAGAUGGCGAUUAGCCCAUGCCCCGUCAGCGCCACGUUCCCCACGUUUGCCAGAGCUGUUAAAUUACUGUAAAAUCACAAGCCAAAAAGGAGCACAAAAGCAAACACCAAGUGAAAAAUGCAUCCGCCUGCUUGCUGGUGACUUGCGUGUUCCACGCCCCAGGCAGCAAAACCAAACCAGGUGGUGGUGCAGGUUUCUGGCAUUUCCUAGUAAAAUAUGACGACCCCCUCCGCCUCCAAUUGUCUGAUCUCCAGGGGGGGAUUAAAAGUGAUCGUCGCUGAAUUCAGAGAAAACAUAUGGCCCCAAAGCCCUGACCUUCCGCUUCCAGCGCCUAAAUUUUUUUUUUUAAAAAAAAACAGCACAGGCCCGGCACGCGCUGCACUCCGGCCACCGGCGCCGCAUUAUAAAUAGCACCCCCUCGCCUCUGCUUCCGGGCACCCCCCCAUCAAUUCUCUUCUUGUUCUUGCUAGUUGCUACGCCUGUGUGAUUAGGGGAGAGCUAGCAAUGAGGGCGCUCGGAAGGGUUGCUUGGGCGUGGCUGCUGCUCCUGCAGCUCGCCGGCGCGUCCCAUGUCGUCUACGAGAACCUCCUCGAGGUGGAGGAGGCGGCGGCGGCGGCCGUGCCGCCCUCCAUUAUCGACCCCCUGCUGAGGACCGGGUACCACUUCCAGCCCCGCAAGAACUGGAUCAAUGGUAAUGUUAAACCUGCUCGCUUGCUGCCUUGGUCGAGGUUGAACAUCCAAAAAUUUUCGAAGUUUGACGGCCCACCAAACCAGUUUAGGCUUUAGGACACUGUAUUUGCACAAAAGGAACCGAUAGCGAGUAAUGUUCCGUUGUUCUUCUGUCACUGAGACACAAUGGAACAAGUCAUGCAGGUUAUUAACUAGACAGUUUUUCUUAAGAUGAUACGUGAACUUCCCCUGAAGUAAGAGGAUAAACCUUCUUCAGGGUUUUGACUUAUCACCUGUAGGCUUAUGUCAGGGGAAGCUCAAUAUAUCACCCUUGACAGGUUUAUGCACAGACAGAACAUUGAUUUGACUGUGAGCUCAGGCAUGCUUGUCAGUUGUCACAACAGAAAUCAGGACCUGUACACUUGACGGUUAACCCAUCAACACAACUAAAACCUCAAAUUUUGUUCAUGCUCAUAAUACUAGAGUAUGCCAGUGCUGUCUACCAGUCUCUGGCAGGAACCGCUGUUAACUGAAGAAGUUUUCAGUGCUGCCUACCUGUACACUUGGCAGGAACCAUGCAUUUACCAGUCUAUGUAGGUUGCUAGCUCUACUUUUGUUGCUUUUCUGUUCUCGGAUUUAAUAGUGGCUGUUGCCAAGGUUAGGCUCUAACUCGAUUUUCUAAUCAUCUCGGUGGGCUGGUGUGCGCUCUGACUGCAUCCGCGACGAAACUUUUGGAACGCCACAGAUCCCAACGGUACGUCGCUUUCCUUCCCUUUAAACUUUCUGUCACAAAUCUCUGCCGUUUGAAGUUGUUAUAUUUCUGCUAGAUUUAUGUAUAUGUCUUCGCAACUUGCAAAUUCAUUUGCUGUUUUGCACGGCAGAGUACGGUGUUGCCCUUUUCUGAAACGACGAAAUAGGAUCACAUCACAUUUAGUAUUCAACUGGUAGGCAAAUCGAGCUCCGCAUGUAGGCACUAGGCAAGCAUACCUGUUGACCAUGGUCACAAAGAUAGAGAUGAACAAAAUUUAGUUUCCUCAAAAAAUGGCAGCAUGAAUAAUUGUUUGCUGGCUCCAUAAUAGUAAUAUGUUAAUCGGUGUUCCUAAUCUUAACAGCUGGAAAUAAAACUUAUACACUUAUCUAGUGACGUCAAAUUUUGUAUUUUAUUUUCCUCAUAAUUAAGGAGAAAAUUGGAUUUGAUAUCUCUGCAGCUCCACUGUACUACAAGGGGUGGUACCAUCUCUUCUAUCAGUACAACCCCAAGGGCGCCGUGUGGGGCAACAUCGUGUGGGCGCACUCGGUGUCGCGUGACCUCAUCAACUGGAUGGCACUGAAGCCGGCGAUCGAGCCCAGCAUCGCGUCCGACAAGUACGGCUGCUGGUCGGGCUCGGCGACCAUGCUCCCCGACGGCACGCCGACGAUCAUGUACACGGGCGUCAACCGCCCCGACGUCAACUACCAGGUCCAGAACGUGGCCUACCCGCGGAACAAGUCGGACCCGCUGCUCCGGGAGUGGGACAAGCCCUCGCACAACCCCAUCAUCGUGCCCAAGGCCGGCAUCAACGCGACGCAGUUCCGCGACCCCACCACCGCGUGGCGCGCCGGCGGCCACUGGCGGCUGCUCAUCGGCAGCGUGACGGGCCCCGCCCACGGCGUGGCGUACGUGUACCGGAGCCGCGACUUCAAGCGGUGGACGCGGGUGGAGCGGCCGCUGCACUCGGCGGCGACGGGGAUGUGGGAGUGCCCGGACUUUUACCCCGUCGAGGCCGCCGGCCGCCGCGAGGGGCUGGACACGUCGGUGUCCGGCCGGCGGGCGAGGAAGUACGUGCUGAAGAACAGCCUCGACCUGCGGCGGUACGACUACUACACCGUCGGCACGUACGACCGGAGGGCCGAGCGGUACGUGCCCGACGACCCCGCCGGCGACGAGCGCCACCUGCGGUACGACUACGGCAACUUCUACGCGUCCAAGACGUUCUACGACCCGGCGAAGCGGCGCCGGAUCCUCUGGGGCUGGGCCAACGAGUCCGACACCUCCGCCGACGACGUCGCCAAGGGCUGGGCUGGGAUUCAGGUUGGUUUACAUGCGUUCUUCCAUGGCUAGAUGUCGAUCAAUCAUGCAUGGCGUCAUGCAUUUUCGGUGCUCCAUAUCAGGCGAUUCCAAGGACGGUGUGGCUGGACCCCAGCGGGAAGCAGCUGCUGCAGUGGCCGAUCGAGGAGGUCGAGGCGCUCAGAGGCAAGUCGGUCACUGUCAAGGACAGGGUGAUCAAGCCAGGACAGCACGUCGAGGUCACCGGGCUACAAACUGCACAGGUCUGUCAUGCUUACAACUUGCAGUCCUUUUCACUUGGCAGUCCAUGCAUGUACGUUUUGCCUGCCGAUGGAUAGAUAUAUUUUUCCAAAGAACCAAAAGGAAUAACAGCACUACUGGCAUCAACCCUGAUCUGCGAAUCGCAGCACGAUGUCAUCCUGGCUCACAAUCCCUUAUCUACUGCCAGUGCUUAGAACGCACAAGCCGAUCGUGCCCAGCGUGCAGCCCCGCGCGGCCACUAGCUGCCCUCGCCCGUCGCCUUUCCUACGUGCCAUCUACGUCGCCCACCCAUUUUUCACCGCACCUUUUGCCGUCAUCACCACUCACCUUCAUGGCACUAUCACAAGUACCAGGAGCUAGUCCUUUACCUUUAGAAUCCUUUUCUUCUCCAGUUGCGAUGUGAUGAUGAGUUAGGAACUAACCUCGGCGUGCGCGCACUUUGUGCGCUCUUGCUGUGCAGGCUGACGUGGAGGUGACCUUCGAGGUGUCGAGCCUGGCGGGCGCCGAGUCGCUGGACCCAGAGCUUGCCGGCGACGCGCAGCGGCUGUGCGGUGCCAGGGGUGCCGCCGUGGAGGGUGGCGUCGGGCCGUUCGGGCUGUGGGUGCUCGCCUCCGCCGACCGGCAGGAGAGGACCGCCGUGUUCUUCAGGUUGUUCAGGCCCGCGCGCGGCGGCGACAAGCCCGUCGUGCUCAUGUGCACCGACCCCACUAAGUAAGUGCGCGCGCGCACUGGCAUCGAUCGAUGACACGUUGGCAUGUAGUCAGCCACGAGUUUUUCGUGUGCUCACCUUCUAACGCACUUGACUAGUUGACUGCACUGACUUGGGUUUCCGUUUUGUUUUUUCUUGGGCAGGUCGUCUCUGAACCCAAACCUGUACCAGCCGACGUUUGCAGGUUUUGUUGAUACAGACAUUUCAGAUGGGAAGAUCUCUCUGAGAAGCCUGGUAUGCACACAGUUAAACGAAGUUUCAGAAGCUUAGACAAUUUUGUUUCCUUAACUAAUUAGGUGUUUAUUUGGACGCUUAAUUAUUUUCUCUGCAGAUCGACCGGUCGGUUGUGGAGAGCUUUGGAGCCGGGGGCAAGACCUGCAUCCUCUCGCGGGUCUACCCGUCGCUCGCCACCGGCAAGAACGCUCGCCUCUACGUGUUCAACGGCGGGAAGGCGGACGUCAAGGUGUCCCGUCUGACGGCGUGGGAGAUGAAGAAGCCACUCAUGAAUGGCGCCUGAAGUAUUACAAGCAUGCGAGCUCCCAUGGUGUCUCGUCCACAUUUGGCGUGUCUUUCCUUUUCAUUUCAGGUGUUUCCACGUUUCCAUUGAUUGUUAGGGAUAAUGGACCGUGCUCCUUAAUUUGUACAAUGGCUUGUGCUGUGCUUUAAUCUAUGAGUACGAUUUCACUCACAGAAAAAUGAGUAUGAUUGUGUAUGAAGGUGCCAAUUCAUAUGCCACUAGCUACGAAUAAGAAACAUUUAUACAUGUUCUGGGUGCGCAUUGACGAUAAACCGGUGCUAGUUUAAUUUGUAAGCUGGUCUCUCAGUACAGGUUGUCAAUUACUGAUGAAGGACUGUGCUAUCUUAUACUGUGGGCCUUUUCAAACAAGAUAAAACAAAAAUUGUCAAUGGUCUCAUGCUAAAUGACCAAAAUAUGGUAUCAUUUUCGUCCUUGAUUCUUUUACCAAGUUGUGGCUCCUUUGUCAGUUGCACCUAUCAUCGCCAAAAACUUCCUGCUCCAUAAAAUUCAUAACCUCGCAUGGCUUCAAUUACCAGAUAGAACAUUAUGCUUAUAGGUUAAACUAAGCAUCCUAGGUAGGUCAAAAUAAAGCCUCAUCCUGAUAGCAUUUCCCCAUUCUCUAUUCAGCUGCAGUGGUGCACAAUGCAGUAGUACUUCCUCCCAUGUCCAUUAUUCUUCACACAAGUGCAGCCUAGGUAGGUAAAAGCCUCAUCCUGAUAGCAUUUGACCUUUUUUUUCUCAGUAGCAUGAAACACUAGUAUAUAUUCCUUCAUUUGAGCCACCAAUUCGUAUACAUUCUUCCUCCCAAAGUAAAAGUAUCAUACAGCUUUCUGGGUGGACUAACAAGUUACAUCAGGGAUUGCACUUGCGCUACCUUUCCUCGGAAGACAAAAGGAGAUAAACUUAGAGCGGUUAUUAGGCCAACAGGGCAUCGGAAAAGUUGAUCAGGGUAAGAUAUAAAGAUAAGCCUAGUGCACAUAUAUUUAAAGGCGUAGCAGCCAUGUUACAUUACGAGGAAAACGCACUUGUACAAUGUCUCUGUACACACUUGGCAAUGUCCAGUUUGUCUCCACGAGUGCCACCGGAUCAUAUACAACAUAAAAUGGAAAGGUGCUCCCUAGUUCUAAAAAGAUGUUGUUUAUGUGUGCCGUCAAAUUUUAGAAUUUUUUAUACAAAAUCAUUAAAAUUUGUCAUGUGGAACUAGCCACUACUACAAAACUGAUUUGUAAGAACCUCUUUUAGCCACCCACUCUGACUGAAGACCUGUUGAAAUGCAUGAUAUCCACAUGCACAAACUAAACUACUACCUCCGUCCCAAAUUACUAUUCGUUUACAUCACUUUUGCCAUGUAUCUAGAUAUAAGUAUAUAUGUAGGUGCAUGUUAAAAUGUGUGUAUAUAGAAAAAACAAAACGAAUAGUAAUUUAGGAUGGAGAGAGUACAUGUGAAAAAACAAUUUUUACAGUUAGUUCACUUCAGGAACCACAUGUACUAAUAUCUUUUACAGGCGGUUCCUUAAUGCGCUUAAGUAACUAUCUAGAUGUAUACCACAAGUAGUUAGUAUAAGGACCGGACUAGUCUAUAUAUUUUCCCGAACCUGAAAUUGAUACAUAUUUUAUUCUCUCCAGAUUUCAACACAUUUUCAAUACUAUAUCCAAACACCAUUUCAUCACAAAUUACAAAGAUAGACUUUUAGGACAAAGCUAGUACUAACUAACUUCUUCACGUUAAUUGACCUUAAUGAUGUUGGAAGCAACUUUUUGUAACAUGAGCAUAAAUGAUGUUGGAUAAGUACGUGUUCAAGGGGAAGUGCAAUGAAAUAGGACUAUAAGGCUUCAUGUGGAUACUUAUACCUUCAAAAUAGGUACUUAAGAACCCAUAACAGGAUCAGCCUAAGAAAGCCCAUGUACAGGUUGAAAGUUUAGUCAUAAUACCUAGAAUGAAAUGCACUGAGAUUGGAAAACGUACCAACGGAGAAUGCACUCUGUUAGAGUUGUACACAAUAAAAAAAAUCAAUGAAGUUUUCCCGCAAAAAAAAAUCAAUGAAGUUGAGAGGCAUCUGACUGCAUUGUUUUUGUGUUUUCUUAUUCUUGUUUUAGCAUGGUAACCUGAUUUACAUGUAACAGGCAUGGCAAUGGCAUAUUGUUCUAGAAAAAAAAAUAGUCCCAUCCUCAGCCUCGGCUGCAUGAGAAGGUGCUGCGAAAGAAAAGUUAGGUCGAAUGUAGAGACAACAUAGCGAUAGAGAACGUGCAUAGUGGGCGGAGGUAGAGCUCGAAAAGGAAUGGAAACGGAAAUCGCACUCAAAUGUUAGAACCCGAACUGAGAGCAAAGGACAACGAACAAGAGGCCUAGUUGAGUUGAGACUUGACAGAAAGUUUCUCGUUGUGUUGACACUUGACAGUGCUUUUUCCUUUUCGAGGACACAUUGCCAAGAUUCCAGCGAGUUGCCAUGUGCCCACGCACGUAGAUGAAGGCUGUGCUAUCAUUGUGCUGCGCAUAAGCUUAUUACUGAUGCCGACGGGUACUAAACUAAAGGGAAAAAGCGAAGGUGCAUAAGCAUAUAUAUUCCGCAACCAUUAGGGAACAUUAACGGUUUUCAGUGGUAUAAAUAAAAACAUAUAUAUUACCUCUGAAUAUAAAACACCAUUGACUAUUUUUUUCAUUUAACUAUUCAUCUUUAAAAAUAUUUAUACAACAUGAUAAAAGUACUUUUUAAUGAUAGAUGUAAUGAUAAUCAUUUUACUUUAUUUAGCUAAUUCAUUAAAUAAAUAUUAUUUAUCAAACUUUGAGAAAAAUUAGAUCGUGUCAUAUAUUUAAGAACAACUAUUUGAAGACAGAGAUAGUACUUUACAUAAACACCAUUCUACUCUAUUAUAUGACAUAGUGUGUCAACCCGCACGAAGAAAAUGCUACGCGAACCUCAACCGGUUUCAAUAAGAUACUGAUGUCAGCUAGGAGGUAAAGAAAAAACCUCGGCCAAGAUGCGUAAUUUUUUUUUCUGCAAAACACAAGAUAGACGCAAAUGCCCACAUAUGCACACGCACGCUCACUUUUAUGAAUACAUGUAACACUAUCCCUAUAAGCAUCUCCAAGUGACUGAACUAACAGGUCUUGAGAUUAAAGAAGUCACCACGGGCAUCUGAUGGGCAUAUCACCUACCACUGAAAGACUAGAAUCGUUAAUUCCUGAAAUAAGUCUAGAAAAAUACAAGCACAUAUGCCAGAUCGAGGACUCGAACUUGAGUUGGCAGGGUUCAUUACAAGAAAUCUCUAAAACCUUAAGUUGAUGGAAAAAGAUUAGCAGUUCAAUUAUACUUCAGCAUUCCCGCUCAAGCAUAGGCGUUGUCAGGCCUUAGACGUGAAUAAUAAGAGCGGGCAACAAUUUUUUUUUUUGUUAAACUUCACUUCUAGGAAUGAUAUUGCAUUUGUCUCUAAUACCAAUUUAGCUGCAUGUAUCAAUUAGUUAAUUAUUACACCUGUAAUCCUAAGUUGAUAGUUGAUAGAAAAAAUGAGCAAUUUACUUAUAUUUCAACAGAAAUAUCUUGUGUGCUCUCCUUUUAUGGUGUCCAUGUUAAUCCUUACAAGAUAUAAUAGAAAAAUAGAAAACCUAAAGGACAUAUUUUAGUAAGCUUCUUCAGCAAAAAAUCAUGUACUAGCCAAUACACUAAAACACUUUGCAUAUCCUUGGAAGACGGGUCAGUCUAACUGAGUACCUUUAUACUCAAGGUAGUGGCGAAGCUAGAGUAAAUUAGUGGGGGAUGCAUUUGCCUUGUGGGUGCAUAGUGUUGAGCUAAGGAGGGUACAUGUAUGGUGAAAAUUUAAGCAUAAUCACUAUUUUUGUAAAAUUUAGGGGUGCAUUAGCACCCACUAAUCAUAGUGUAGCUUCACCCCUAACUCAAAGUAUCUUUAACUUGUGGCAGAAGAUUCCACUGAAGCCAGGUGAAGAGGUGCUUAUGAUGAACAAGAACAUAUUGUUGAGUCCAAUAUAUUCUUGCAAAUACGUUCUUGAUUAUUGUAUAAUUAAAGUUUUACAACAAUAUUGUUCCCGACUAAGUUUGUUUCGAAAACCUCUUAGACUGGUUUGACCAACACUUUAAGGGGGUGUUUGGCAACACACACCUAAACUUUAGUACCUGUCACAUCGGAUGUUUGGAUACUAAUUAGAAGUAUUAAAUAUAGUCUAAUUACAAAACUAAUUGCACAGAUGGAGUCUAAUUCGCGAGACGAAUCUAUUAAGCCUAAUUAGUCCAUGAUUUGAUAAUGUGGUGCUACAGUAACCAUUUUCUAAUGAUGGAUUAAUUAGGCUUAAUAGAUUCGUCUCGUGAAUUAGUAUAGGGGUUCUGCAGUUAGUUUUAUAAUUAGCUCAUAUUUAGUCCUUCUAAUUAGCGUCCGAACAUCCGAUGUGACCCUCCUAAAGUUUAGUAUCUCGUAUCCAAACAACCCCUAAGUUUCUUAUGGUUUGUAAUAAAUUGUAUCUCUAUAAAUCAUUUAUGUAAAAAAUUUGAUGUAUAUUGUGAGUUUCUCUUCGCAAAAGCAGUCCUGAAUGCAUGGUUAAGAUGACAGUUCUAACGUGGAUGAUUCGGGAUUGUCCCGAUGACACCUCAUGAAUUGCCAAAUUUACAUUGUUUCAAGAGCGUUGGCAAUAGUUACCGAUGCGGUGGUGAUUAGGGGCACCGGCACUUGAGCCGUUUUAAAUGUAGGAGUACAACUUGAUGGACAACUAUUUAUUGUUCAAAAGCAUAGAUGGUUAUUGUUACACGUAUGUGCUAAAAGCAAUGGUAGGAAUGUAGUUUAAGUGCUGAAGCUAUAAAAAAAAAAGUAACUCAGUGGACAUGACUAACUAACAGGUACUUCCUCGUUCCACAUUACAAGGCAUUUCAACUUCUUGGAGAGUCAAAGCAUCUCAAGUUUGACCAAAUUUAUACAAUAAAAUACUAACAUUCAUGAUACCUAAUAGGUACCAUUAGUUUCUUCAUUAAAUAUAUUUUCAUAAUAUAUCUAUUCCGUGCCAUAAACUUUUGUGAUCUUCUUUAUAAUUUUAGUCGAACAUAAAUUGGUUUGACUUUUUAAGAAAGUUAGAAUAACUUAUAACUUAUAAUUUUCUAUUUUCUUAUGUCCUCGGAAGUUACUCGGCGCCACGUUCCCCACGUUUAACAGGGCAGGUAAGUGUCGAAAUCAAGUGCUAAAAUUACCGCGCGCCAUCAGAAGAGAUCACACUAUUACAGAACAUAAACCAAGGGAAAAUUUUCUUCUGAUUAGGUGCGGGUGAACUACGAUUUUCCACACACGCCGAAAGCAAAUAAAACAAACCAGGUUUCACAUCGUAAAGAAAAAAAAUGCAGCCUGAUAGAGUCGUGAACAUUUCGACAAAAUCUGCAGAUUUUCCAGCAACCCCUUGUCAGAUACGACGACCUGCUGCUCUCCGCGGAAAAAAAUUCCAAGAGGACGGUGCCCAAACUUCUGUUCGUGAGAAUCCACCCUGGAUGUGCGACGCGUGGCUACUGCUGCCAUCCGAUGCACAUGCUCGUGAGGCUCGACAGGCUCGGCUUGCAUACCUUGGCUCACAGGCUCCAGGCUUCGAUACAGCCAAGCGAGGAUCCUGGAACCUGCCGCCGCCAUCGUCCCCUCAUCCACUGCUGCAGCUCGUCUGCCGGAGCCCCUAGCGUCCGCGGCCGCAGCUCCCUUGGACGGCCUCCUCCGAGAUCUCGUCAUCCCCGCACGCGGCCUCGAUCUCGGCGUGGAGCCUCUCCUAGACCGCCAUGAUCCACUGCAGAGCCGUCGAGGUGGUGCGGGUCCCAACGUUGAGGAACUCAGAGCAGAGCGUUACGAUCUCGUCGUCGGUGAGCGGGCGGUUGCGCUCCUCAGGGACAAGCAACCUGAUGUCGAGUGCCGGAACGUGGUCUCGUUCGCCGGCGCCGCCUUGCCUUCCUGCAUGAGCCGCUGCUUGUACUCCCGCGGCGCGUUGAUCAGCGGCAUGAAGAGCUCCUUCUGGUGCCGCCUUAGGGCGCGUCCAGUCUCGAGGUGCCCGCGGAAAACGUGCUUGGUGACGGACGGGAGGAAGAAGAAGAGCCCAUCUGUCUGGGGCUGGAUAUGUACGUGAGCCAGGCGUGCUCGGCGUCCUCCAUGGUGUGCACCACCGGCUCGUCGAGCCUCUCGCUGAAGCACAUGAUCACGAGGAGGCAGAACACCGUGUACUGGAACGCGUCCAUGACGUUGCCGGGCGCGUCACCCGACUCCCGCAGCUUCUCCAUGAGGACGCAGCGCACCCAGGCGCGCGCCGGAGCAAACUGCCUGACGCGCGACGGGUGGAGCGCCUCGCCGACGAGGUUGCGCCGCAGGAGGCUCCAGAUGGGCCCGUAAUCGGUGCGGGUGAUGAUGCUGUCGCUCACGCUGAGGAGCACGUUCAGCGUGCCUGACGUCCAAGGGAGCUGCGGCCGCGGACGCUAGGGCUCUGGCAGACGAGCUGCAGCGGAUGAGGGGACGUAGGCGAUGGCCGCGGCGGCGGUGGGUUCCCAGGACCCUCGCUCGGCUGGCUCGAAGCCUGGAGCCUGUGAGCCAAGGUAUGCAAGCCGAGCCUGUCGAGCCUCACGAGCAGGUGCAUCGGAUGGCAGCAGUAGCCACGCGUCGCACAUCUAGUGGGUCCUCGUGGACAGAAGUUCGGGGACCGUUCCAUGGAAUUAUUUUCCGCCCUCCGCGGGCGAAAACGACGUUGCUGAAUUCAGAAAAAGCAUAAGUUCCAGGCCACAAUCACGGGAUUUCGAGCGCUUAAAAAAACACAGCGCACGCCUGCCACGCCUCGCACGCUGGCCAUGAGGCCAUCAGCUAGCUGCACAGUAUAAAUAGCACGCCUUGUCCUCUGCUUCCGACCAUCCUUCUUCGUCAGUUCUCUACUUGUUCUUCUUGCUAAUACUCCUCUGUGGGGCUCUGUGGCGCCUAAGCGAGAGCAAUGAGAGCGCUUGGAAGAGUUGUGUGGGCAUGGCUGCUGCUCCUGCAGUUAGCCGGGGCAUCCCACGUUGUCUACGAGAACCUCCUCGAGGUGGAGGCGGCGGCCGUGCCGCCGUCCAUCGUCGACCCCGAGCUGAGGACGGGGUACCAUUUCCAGCCCCCCAAGAACUGGAUCAAUGGUAAUGAAAAAGCCCUAAACCCUACCUACUGACAUGCUCAGGUAGGUGGUGCGUAUACGAGCAAGCAAUGCGUGUUGGCAACUUACUCCUGGCCUUCAGGCCUUGUGAGUGGCAACUUGUUGCUGGAGUGCUGGGGCGAGUGAAUGCGCUGCAGCUCCAGUCAAGUUGCCGCAUAGGAAAAUUCGUGUCCGCUCGACUGUUCAUACGGUGCACUGGUUUUAAUAACCACACCAUUCAUACGGUGCACUGGUUUUAAUAACCACGCCACCAGCUGACCAUCAGCUAGCUUCCUUUGCUAGAGUCCUGAGCUUCUGAUUACACGUCAAACACCGCGUAUUUCUGGAGUUCUCCAGUUCUUGCUUGCUCGUGCAAGUAUAAAUACCGGCCUCCACCCUCCCUUCUUCCUCUGCCCACCCUUCACUUUUGUACUGGUGCGCGUGAGGAAGAGCAAUGGGAGCGCACGGAAGGGAUGCUUCUUGGGCAUGCCUGGGGGUGGCGCUGCUGCUGGUGCAGCUCGCCGGGGCGUCGCAUGUCGUCUACGAGAGCCACCUCGAGACGGAGGCGGCCGUGCCACCGUCCAUCGUCGACCCCCGGCUGAGGACCGGGUACCACUUCCAGCCUCCCAAGAACUGGAUCAAUGGUAAAGCAAACCUCACAAACUUGCUGUGUUAUUGUGUUAUUGGACGAGGUAGUAAAAGGUGCAGCUUAAUUUUGAUUGCGUCUAGGGCACUCUAAAGGCUGAAGGAGCCAACAGUUCAGAAGUCUAGCUAGUGUUCUUCUUGUGCUGCAUAGAUAAGUCAGAGACAAGGUCAUGCAGACUAACAAGCCAGUUUUUUUUUAGGAUGAUAUAUUGAACAAUCUCCUGAAAUGAUCACUUGGAGCCCGAAUUAGUAAACUUGAUAUGACUGGUAGCUCAGACAUGCUUGUCACAGCAGAAAAUCACGCGCUGACAGUGCUGCUGUACGCUGGUUAACCCAUCAACUCAACUCUCUAUCAGAAAUCACGUACAGCACCCUCGAGAGUAUCAGACACUUGGUUUGCUUUUACGAAUUUAACAAUGGUUCUCGUUCCAAGGUUUGGCUCUAACUCGAUUUUCUAAUCUUCUCGGUGGGCUGCUUCUCUGCGAUCCGAUUGCGUCGGCGCCGGAACUUUUUGCAACACCAGAUCCCAACGGUACGUCGUUGUACCACCCUUUAAAUUUCCUCCCGUCAUCACGCAUCUGAUAGAUUAUUUUAGUAUAUUUAUAAAUGCCCUGCGUGCAACUUGCAAAUUCAUUUCCCGGCAGAAAACAGUGACGCCUUUUAUGACAAAAUUUCACCACAUGCAUUUAGCAUGCAAAAUGGCACACGCUGGGCCUCCACAUGUACGUAGCCAUGCUUGUCGACCAUGGUCGUUGGCUCCAAGCCUCCGACAGUGUCCACCAAUCAACAAAAGGCACAAUUUGUAUAAUGUCCUAAAGUUCGAAACAAGCAUCAUAUUGAAUGUUUUUUUUUCCUCUGAGGUUCUAAAAGAUUUUUUGGUUGAAUGAAACUACAGCUCCGAUGUACUACAAAGGCUGGUACCAUUUCUUCUACCAGUACAACCCCAAGGGCGCCGUGUGGGGCAACAUCGUGUGGGCGCACUCGGUGUCGCGGGACCUCAUCAACUGGGUGGCCCUGGAGACGGCGAUCGAGCCCAGCAUCCCGUCCGACCAGUACGGCUGCUGGUCCGGCUCGGCGACGAUCCUGCCCGACGGCACGCCGGUGAUCAUGUACACAGGCAUCGACCGCCCCAACAUCAACUACCAGGUCCAGAACAUCGCCUACCCGAGGAACAAGUCCGACCCGCUGCUCCGGGAGUGGGUGAAACCUGCGCACAACCCCAUCAUCGUGCCCGAGGGCGGCAUCAACGCGACGCAGUUCCGGGACCCGACCACCGCGUGGCGCGACGACGACGACGGGCGGUGGCGGUUGCUGAUCGGCAGCGUGGCCGCCGGGGGCGCCCGCGGCGUGGCGUACGUGUACCGGAGCCGCGACUUCCGGCGGUGGGCGCGGGUGCGGCGGCCGCUGCACUCGGCGGCGACGGGGAUGUGGGAGUGCCCGGACUUCUACCCGGUCGAGAGGGACGGGCGGCGCGUGGGGCUCGAGACGUCCGUGUCCGGCCGGCGGGUGAAGCACGUGCUGAAGAACAGCCUCGACCUGCGCCGGUACGACUACUACACCGUCGGCGCGUACGACCGGAGGGCGGAGCGGUACGUGCCGGACGACCCCGCCGGCGACGAGCGCCGGCUGCGGUACGACUACGGCAACUUCUACGCGUCCAAGACGUUCUACGACCCGGCGAAGCGGCGGCGCAUCCUCUGGGGCUGGGCCAACGAGUCCGACACCGCCGCCGCCGACGUCGCCAAAGGGUGGGCUGGGAUUCAGGUACAACGACGACUGCCGAUAUCUACUACGUGCACGAUGCAUGUCGCCAUAUUAGCCCCUAUUAAAAUCACAAUUCACAAAGAUCUCGACGUAAUAGAGUUCUUUCUGUUGUUGCUAAACUUUGUGCGCGUGUGACGUGGAUGAUAUCUCAGGCGAUCCCAAGGACGGUGUGGCUGGACCCCAGCGGGAAGCAGCUGCUGCAGUGGCCGAUCGAGGAGGUCGAGGCGCUCAGAGGCAAGUCGGUCACUGUCAAGGACAGGGUGAUCAAGCCAGGACAGCGCGUCGAGGUCAUCGGGCUACAAACUGCACAGGUUUGGCGUGCUUGUUAGGGAGUAUUUGGCUAAGGGGCUAAAAGUUUAGCCUUAUUACAUCGGAUAUUUAGAUACUAAUUAGAGUAUUAAAUAUACUUUAAUUAUAAAACUAAUUACAUAGAUGGAGUCUAAUUCGUGAGACGAAUCUAUUAAGCCUAAUUAGUCCAUGAUUUGAUAAUGUGGUGCUACAGUAACCAUUUGCUAAUGAUGGAUUAAUUAGACUUAAUAGAUUCGUCCCGCGAAUUAGCCUAGAGGUUCUGCAAUUAGUUUUAUAAUUAAUUCAUAUUUAGUCUUCCUACUUAGUAUCCGAACAUUGAGGGUUAAAUUUUAGCCACCGGUAUCAUACAGCUUGCGCAUUUUCUAACGAUUGAAAAAAAGAACAGCAGUAGUGCAGUACAAUAGCAGUAUAAUGCCAUCAAUGCCGUCCUGCAAAACUGCUCCCCUGAUCCGCACCCAGCGCGAUGUUAUCCUGGCCCGCUAUCUUAUCCGGCGCCAGUACUCUGCACGCACAAGUUGAUCCUGCCCAGUGCCCAGUUGCCCAGCAUGCUGUCCGUGCAGUACGGCAGCGCCCCCACUAGCCCCUCUGCCACGCCACCCGUGUCGCCUCCUCUAGUCCUCUUCCUGCCUUCUCCGCGCCUUUCGCCCUCGCCCGCCGUCAUCCGCGCAUACUUGCACGUGUUCUCUCUGGUCCCCGGGUGCGUCGCGACCUGGGCUGCGAACAGCGAAACCAACCAAACUAAACUUGGGCGUGCACGCGCUCCGGUUAAUUCGGCUGCAGGCUGACGUGGAGGUGAGCUUCGAGGUGUCGAGCCUGGCGGGCGCCGAGCCGCUGGACCCGGCGCUCGCCGGCGACGCGCAGCGGCUGUGCGGCGCCAGGGGCGCGGCCGUGGAGGGCGGCGUGGGGCCGUUCGGGCUGUGGGUGCUCGCGUCCGCCGACAUGCAGGAGAGGACCGCGGUGUUCUUCAGGGUGUUCAAGGCCGCCGGCAAAGACAAGCCCGUCGUGCUCAUGUGCACCGACCCAACCAAGUAAGUGCGCGCCCCGCGCCGGCGUCGAUCGAUCUCUCCCGGCCGGGUUGGUCUCAACCCUUGAUUGCACUGACUCUGGUUUCUUUUCCUUUUAUCCCUCUCGGACAGGUCAUCUCUGAACCCGAAUCUAUACAAGCCGACGUUUGCAGGUUUUGUUGACACAGACAUCUCAAAUGGGAAGAUUUCUCUGAGAAGCUUGGUACGCACAUAGUAGUACUCUAAGUAAACAAGUUUCAUGUAACAAGUCGGCGGUUCAUUUUUUCUCAGCCGUGUGACUGCAUUUUCUUUCUGCAGAUCGACCGGUCGGUUGUGGAGAGCUUCGGAGCCGGGGGCAAGACGUGCAUCCUCUCCAGGGUCUACCCGUCGCUCGCCAUCGGCAACAACGCCCGCCUCUACGUGUUCAACAACGGGAAGGCAGAUGUCAGGGUGUCGCGUCUGACGGCGUGGCAGAUGAAGAAGCCACUCAUGAAUGGCGCCUGACAAGAGCUUCCAUUGUGUCGAUCUGGUUCACAAAUUGGGAAGUGUUCCACACAAUUUCCGUGUAGAAUGGCUCCUUCGUACUAGAAUAGUACAAUACUACAAUUGUUUCGACUGAAACUUUUCAAGAAAAAAACACAAUGAUUUCGAUUGUGUUUUUAUUAGGGUAUGGAAAGUGCAGAUUUGUAUGCAUUCCACUACGAACAACAAUAAAUAUUCACAUAUUUGCGUGAUGGUUGUUGGAAUGUGAUCUCGAUUAAUCAUGGGGUAAUAAUUAAGUUUAAAUCCAAGAUUAAUUAAUGAUAGUCACCAUCCAAUUUAUUUUAAGUUACUCCCUCCCUUAGGUCGUUUUGACUUUCUAGGUUCAUAGAUAUUAUUAUGCACCUAGACGUACGAUAUAUCUAGAUGCAUAAUAAUAUUUAUGAAUAUAAAAAAACUAAAACGACCUGUAAUGUGAAACAGAGAAAACCACCUACAAUGUGGAACAGAGAAAAUAGUUGCAAUAGUCGGCUGCAACCCUAACAUACUGGGAGAGAGGCAGCUACAAUGAUCAAAUGAUAAGCUAACACAAACUCAUGGAUCUGCCACCGCCACUGGAGCAACAACGGCACUUCCAACUUCCAAGCAUGAAUCAAGAGAAAGAAUAAAACAAAGAGGUAACCCUAGAAUACAGAACAACAUCGAGAUCAAAGCAUCAACCCUAGGGAACGACAGGUCCCGCUACGGAUCAUUUUGAACCAAUGCCAAAAAAGUUGCUUACAAAUUCAACAGAUGUGAUACAGAUUUAGGAAGAUUAGCCCGUGCAUCAUCACAAUGAGUAUUGCAUAUCAAAAUGUCAGAUAUAGUGUUCGAGAUAUUACGCAAAGAUUACCGGCUAGUAAGGUUACUAAUGGGGCACCCAAUGUGAUAUAACUAGUUUAUAUCUCUAAGAAAACUGAAGAUAGGAUCUCCCAAAAAACUUCAAUUUAGAGAACAAGCUUAGGAAUUCAAAAUGGGUAUGCCCGUUACGCGAGUGCCAAAGUACUAUAUAUAAGGUCGAAAAUUUCCUCGCAUGCCACUAGUUAAACCAUAAAUUCCUCGCAUACUAUUGCCAUUGACUGCGAGUGGUCCCACAUGUCAUAGACACAUUGAUGGCAUAUGAGAGAUUAUAAAUUUUUUUCAAUGGUUUGUAAGGAAAUUCCCCAUAUAAGAUGGGGUGAGAAACCCUCAAGGGGCAAACAAAACAAGAAGAAAUAAACCAUAAAGGAUAUAGCGAGGUCGUAAUCAUCAAUUUUCUUGCAUGUAGUGCGAGGCCCAGCCCUUUUUCUAAGCGCAAAUGCGGCACCUUGAAUAUUUUCCAUCAUAUACAUUGAUUUAUUGAGUCCACAAGUCAAUGCCUUACCUAAUCUACCCUCUCCACACGCACGCACGCACGGAGGUAGUAGUAUUUCCAUUUCUCUCCCAGUCCCAUCCCCUGUCUCUCCAAUUCGAAGCCUUAUUAGUAAAAAAAGAAUUCCAUACAUUGACGACCAUAUGGGACAAACAGUGAUAAAAAUGAUGAGUUAGUAAAGCUACAAAGGCAUGAAGGGGGGGUUAGCAUGAUACUUUUGAUAUCCAGGAAUUAAUCGAGCUGUCCACGGGUCUCAAAUGGCUAACAGUUAACCAUGCACUGCAUUUAAAAACCAUACGGUUGAUUUGGAAUGCAUUCAGUUAUUAAAAACCAUGCUCUUGAUUUUGAAGACAACUAAUUUCAUAACUAAGAACACAACUAAUUUUAGGUGGUUAGAUAUUAAACUACUAGAUUUACAUAAUCUCAUAAUCGAGCUACAACCGAGCUAAUGGCAGGUAAUAAUGGAUACGGAAAAAACCAAUUAACACCACAACACCCACAACCAAAAAUCCGACCACUAAUAACCAAGGAUCUAAACAGGUCUCAAAUCAUUUUUUACUAUCCAACUUUUUAAAACCUAUACCUAUAAUCUAGAUUCUUAAUUAUAAUCUGUAGGUGAUCCAAUAAGGCUCUUCAUCAUGUCAUCCCUUUUUUUAAACUCAGUACUACAGAUGCUCGCAUUUUUCUAACGAUCUUGACAAUUUCAAGAUCUGUCGGCCCAUUCUCUCGGACGUGUUCAUAUACAUGCAUAUGUUCAUAGGGGUAACUGUGUUUGUACUGUGUUUUAAUUAAAAAAAAGAAUAAUAGUAGCACUACACAUGUCCUUUUCACCACACUCGGCGCAGCACGCUUCUCAUGUCAGCGCAUCGUGAACCCCUGCUGGACGUGAGCUGCAUGCGUCGAGUGGAUCUUGGGGAUCAUGUUGACGCUUUCUGUUGGUUAAUUAGGGUGCCGUAGCUGCUUGGACUGAUGGGUGAUGGCUUGCUGCAUGCAUGCGCCAUCCAGCUCUGUGCCUCGAUCUGUUUCUGCGAUGCAAGUCUAUCCAGUUAGUUGAGAAUCCUUUGCUGCGCGCGUGGACUAUGACAUGCAUGGAUAGUUUAUUUUCUGGAAUUUUUGCGUGCCCCGCGUUAGAUGCAAACCCCUCGUUCCUUAUAAAAGGGAAUCGAUCCUGCACUUCUUUGUUGUGUUCUUCAUUGAUCAUCCGUCAUCCAGUUAACGAUCGAGCUCGGUAGUGAAGUGCUCGUCUGCUGGCUGCUUUGUUAUUAGGAAUGGGACCGGCGGCAGUGACGGCACUACUGCUGCUGGCUCUGCUUACGAUCGUGCGUGCGUCGCACGUCGUGUACCCGGAGCUUCAGUCGUUGGAGGCGACGCAGAUCGACGAGACGUCGCGCACCGGGUACCACUUCCAGCCGCCCAAGCACUGGAUCAACGGUACGUGGAUGCAUGAGUCGUUGUGUUGUACUUGUCAGCCUUUGCAUAUUUUAUGUGCCAUUGUUAUUGAUUGGAGGUUGAUCUUACCUUUUUUUUUGUUCCUUUUGAUUUUUAUUUAUCCUGCGUUCUACCUCGCGCGAUUUGACGACGAUCAGAUCCGAAUGGUAUGCCCCUGCAUCGAAACCCCUUCAUGUACACUCGACUCAUAAGAAACACCACAAGAAUAACAAUGUGGUUUUUGUUUUUCGAUGUAACCAACUCGCGAUGGCACAUUGUCAUGCAAUAUUGCAAUGCACGGAUGCAGGGCCAAUGUACUACAAGGGGCUGUACCACCUCUUCUACCAGUACAACCCGAAGGGCGCGGUCUGGGGCAACAUCGUGUGGGCGCACUCGGUCUCGACUGACCUGAUCGACUGGACGGCGCUGGACCCGGGGAUCUACCCGUCGAAGCCGUUCGACAUCAACGGCUGCUGGUCCGGCUCCGCCACCUUGCUGCCCAGCGGCGUGCCGGUGAUGAUGUACACCGGCAUCGACCCGGACGAGCACCAGGUACAGAACGUGGCCUACCCCAAGAACCUCUCCGACCCGUUCCUCCGCGAGUGGGUGAAGCCCGACUACAACCCCAUCAUCUCCCCCGACGGCGGCAUCAACGCCAGCGCCUUCCGCGACCCGACCACCGCCUGGUACGGGCCCGACAGGCACUGGCGCCUGCUGGUGGGGAGCAAGGUGGGCGACAAGGGCCUCGCCGUGCUGUACCGGAGCCGGGACUUCAAGCGGUGGGUCAAGGCGCACCACCCGCUCCACUCGGGGCUCACGGGGAUGUGGGAGUGCCCGGACUUCUUCCCCGUCGCGGUGCACGGUGGCAGCCGCCACCACCGCCGCGGCGUCGACACCGCCGAGCUGCGCGACGCCGCCGUGGCCGAGGAGGUCAAGUACGUGCUCAAGGUCAGCCUGGACCUGACGCGGUACGAGUACUACACGGUGGGCUCCUACGACCACGCCACGGACAGGUACACCCCAGACGCCGGCUUCCCCGACAACGACUACGGCCUCCGGUACGACUACGGCGACUUCUAUGCGUCCAAGUCGUUCUACGAUCCGGCGAAGCGCCGCCGCAUCCUCUGGGGCUGGGCCAACGAGUCCGACACCGUCCCCGAUGACCGCAAGAAGGGUUGGGCUGGCAUUCAGGCGAUCCCGAGGAAGCUGUGGCUGUCGCCACGCGGGAAGCAGCUGAUCCAGUGGCCGGUGGAGGAGAUCAAGGCGCUGCGCGCCAAGCACGUGAACGUCAGCGACAAGGUCGUCAAGAGCGACCAGUACUUCGAGGUCACCGGCUUCAAGUCCGUGCAGGUUCGUCAAGUACUUUGUCUGAACACGAUCGACGCCCUUACGUUUCCACGUCAUCCCGUCGUAGGAUUCUUACUUGAAAUGUCCAUUCAUCAGUCGGAUGUGGAGGUGGCGUUCGCGAUCAAGGACCUGAGCAAGGCGGAGCAGUUCAACCCGGCGUGGCUCAGGGACCCGCAGGCGCUCUGCAAGAAGCGCGGCGCGCGCGUCACGGGCGAGGUGGGGCCGUUCGGGCUGUGGGUGCUGGCCGCCGGCGACCUCACGGAGAGGACCGCCGUCUUCUUCAGGGUGUUCAAGACCACCGGCAGCAAGCACGUCGUCCUCAUGUGCAACGACCCUACCAACUCGACGUUCGAGUCGCAGGUCUACCGGCCGACCUUUGCCGGCUUCGUCGACGUCGACAUCGCCCAGACGAAGACGAUAGCCCUCAGGACAUUGGUACGUAAAUGUUCUUGUAUAUACACGUAGAUUCGCGCGAGGUCUAACACUGUGAAUCAUAAAACUUUGGUUGCUCCGAUCCACUGCACGUAUGAACAAUGCAGAUCGACCACUCCGUGGUGGAGAGCUUCGGUGCCGGCGGCAAGACGUGCAUCCUGACGAGGGUGUACCCCAAGAAGGCCGUGGGAGACGACGCGCACCUCUUCGUCUUCAACCACGGCGAGGUGGACAUCAAGGUCGUGAAGCUGGACGCCUGGGAGAUGAAGACCCCGAAGAUGAACGCGCCGGCGCAGUAGCACGAGGACUAGUGGUGUGGUGGUAGCCCUAGCCGUAGCCGUACGUAGGUUUAACGUUAGCUGAGAUCGUCAAAGCUUCAGAGAAAUGCAUGGUCGGGUUCGUUUCGUUCAGAUCAUCUCACACCGCUCUCUCUCUCUCCAUCGCAAAAAUUGCAGCAUGCAGCACUCGGUGCAUGCACAAAAGUUUUGAUGGUCAGGAAUCAAUGUUCAGUUAUGGAAUUGUUUCAGUAUGAGCUACUACUAUCUUCCAUCUUAAUGCAAUGAUACGUAGCUUUUCUGCGUAUUUAAAAAAAAAGCUACUGCUACCUUUUUCCCAAAACCUUUGUGUGAUAUGGGGUUUCUCUUUCUUUUCUUUUUCUUUUCCUACUUUUUUAAAAAGCAAAGAAGGUUUUACUAUUAGUAGGAGAAAAUAAGAACAUGUGGCGGUUAUUGCACACAGUCCAUCCUAGCUACUGUCACUCAUUUCGCUCAUCUUUGGACCGGGCAGUUGUGAUCCAACAACAACACUUGACACUUCAGAAUGCAAGUAUAAGAAACUGUCAAAAUGCCAUGUAGAGUGACAAUUCUCGCAAAGAAAUGCCGGGUAAUUAGCAGGUUAGUUAGGGGCCAUGUCUGACUGCCUGAGCGCUAGCUAACCGUUAAUUACACCACUUCCAGUCUGUGGAUGCGUGGUGCAGUGUGGACUUGUGGUAGCAGUGCUUGUAAGUUGUAACUGCGAAUUAAACUUCAAAAUUUCAGGGAAAAUUUCAUCAAUGUCCUAAUAUUAUUCAAUAAGUAUACGGUAUCUUUGUUUUCUAUAACUCGUAUAUGAAAAAAAUUCUAAGUUGUCUCUGAAGUUUAAAAUCGGACACAGAAUUCGAAAAUAUUUUGUUUGGAUUGACCGAAUUCACGAAAUUUCCUCCUCCUUUUUCUCACUUCGCUGUACAUACCGGUGGUUGGCCCCAACGGGUAGAUGAGAUGGAAGAGAAGCGUCGAGGUGAGAACCUUUUGUCAAGUGCACUCUGUGCACCGGUAUACGUGUCUGGCCCAUCUGAACUUCCGUGCAAAACUGAAAAGAAACACCCCCAUGUUCCUGUACUUCAGCACUGUGGAUGCUCCUAGUCGUUAACGAGUGGCCGUGCUACUGUACCCAAGGUCAACUAGAAUGGAAUGCCAACGAGACAUGCAGCGGCACCGAAUGGAAAGAACUUAACAAAGCCGUGCGAGCCAAAUGAUGAUGAGGUCACCUUGAUGUCAUCUGCCUCUGCGCCCAACGGACCGCGGAACAGAGUAACGCGCCUCCGGUCCGGGGCGCUGAUCCUGUGCUUCCCCUCUCUUCAGCAUGCAUAUAGUUGCAUACACGAGUCACAGCCAAACGGACGCACAUCUCCGACGCGACGCGACCGAUCGACGCUGCAGCUUUCCAUCGGAGUUCGGCACGCGUCGCACCGCGCGCGCGCACACUAGCUAUGAGAUCGCGUAGUGGCGGCCCCCACCGUUCCGGCAUACUCCUAUGCAACACAGUGGUCACGGCCGGCCUCGGCGCCAUGCAAGUGUACGCCACGCCAAACCCCGAUCGGCAGCCGUACGCGAUCGAAUCGAGGCGCACCGAGACAUUGCCAACAAGGGCCCAGCCCGUUCCGGCGAAGUGGAGCGGCGCAGGCCGAGGCGGCGGGGACGGCAGGAUCCAGCGAGUGGGUGAGCACGUACGGCAACGCCGGACGAGUCACGGCCGACGCGACAGCCACCACACUGACGGCGCGAGUUGGGCAACCGACCUGCCCGCCAGCCCGCAACUCGGGUGUCGGCGCCGGCGACCGGAGGGGGAUUGUGAAAGCGCGCAGUGCGCGGGAGAUUCUGGGAGGAAGAGGAGGACAUCGUGUGGCCGCCAGCUCGAAGAUGCCCGUGCCCGUGCACCCCCACCACCAGUUGACGAGUAGGUGAGCCAGAACUAGAAGCCGCACACUUGCACGCGCGCCGCCCAGAAUCUGCUUUGCUGGUGGCGGUCCGAAGUUUUUCUAGAUAAAGGCAAAUCCGGCCUCAACUGAAUAUAUUCACUUACAGCCAAUUUAGAACGCAGCACUUAGGCUGCCCACACUAAAGAGCUAAGCAUCCCUAAAUAGAGACAACCGAUACAAAAGAUACACUCAAAACACUAGGCUUGAAGUCUUCUUCUGUUUUUCCAUCCAAAGUUAUUGAAGAUCUCCAUGAUAGUGAUCUCCAACUUGCUGCAACUUGCUUUCAGAGUAUUUUCCUCUUCCUCCUUAGAGAGGAGCGUCCCACUCCUUGUCCAAUAAGUUCUCCUGAAAAUAACCUGAAAAAUGAGUUAGGAAUUGUAUUUUGGAGGUAAUGAUUUGGUUUUCCGAGGAAAACGAGACGGUGACGGGGGGCGAUCCAGUUCGGUCUCGGUGGAGUUCGCGGCGGCGGUGACCUGUGAGAUGCUGCAAUCGUACGACCACCAGUGCGGUGGAGAGGUGGUGGUGGAGGGCGAUACUGUCCCGUGCUAUCGCUGUUCACUUUCCUUAUCGGGAGGGGGCAAAUUGGCGUAGCCAACCUGCAUGUCGUUCCGGCUCUCGUUUUGGUGGUGACACUGAUAGUCCCCGAUCCUGCCCAUUCUGCAGUACAGGGAUGUGCGAUCGGGCCAGCACCUUUACGAAGAUGCACGGCUAGUGGGUAUGGGAGGGUUGCAACGUGUCGAGGAACAGGCGCUGAGUGAGGCACACGCACGAUGCCCUUGGCCUGUUGCUGCGUACAGGCCGGAGAGGUUCUGCUUUGCGCUAGUGCACCGAAGGAGGAUUGGAUUGGAUUAAGCUGAACUCCGAUGGCUUGUUUGACUCAGAGUCUAGCUCAGGAGCUGCUGGUGGAUGGGUGCUUCGUGAUUGUCAAGGUUUGGUUGCUGCUGCUGCAGCCUAUUGUUAGCUGUGGCGCAGGGACAUCGUAAGGUGAUCCUGGAAGUCGACCUCACAACCCUCGCAAAGGAUCUACGCUCGGCGACGGAGGAUCGAUCGCCAAUUUCUGGUCUUCAGCAUGAAACCUUAGAGCUAAUCAGGUCCUUUUGUGGGUUUUCUAUUUCUUUUGUUCAAAGGGAAGCCAACUCAGUAGCACAUUCAUGUGCGAGGAUGGUUUCACUUGUAAAAACCUGAAUACUCCUGAAUCAGCGUUACUCCAAACUGGGCUGACAAAGCUCUUGUAUCCUGCAAAAAUAAAAGUUUUGCUGUGUUUCUUCGCUUUUUUUAAAAAAAAAUCCAUUUGUAGGAGGCCUCCGAGUAAAGAAAAGACCAGAUACGCGAAAUGGGCUUCUCACGGGCUGAACAGCCCAGCGGUUCACUCGUCUCACGUGCUCAAGCCUCGAGGGACACUGGAUAGGAACAUUUCGGAUAGCCCAUGUCCCGUGAUACAGUGUGUAUUUAACUUUUUCGGUAAUGCUAAGCAUCAAACGUCCGAGGCCAGACUCCCCCGCCGGACGCUUCAUCCACGAUCCACCAGACGAGUCCACGUAAGCACACAACGAUCCACCAGACGAGUCCACGUAAGGCUCCGUGGCUGCCUCCAGAUCCUCGGGCACCACAUCUCCACCUAGCUCCUAGCGUUGAGGUGAGGCACCCGGCGGUAGUUGGCCACCGCCACCGUUGGGGACGAAUUCUGGAGCAGCAGAUCGGCUACAAGUGUCAUUGGAGGUGAUUCCGCCUUAGGGCAGUAUGCCCUAAGGGGCGAAGCCAUGUUAGACUUGCUGAGUGCACAACCAACAGAAAAAAAAUAAAAUUUUAGAGAUUAGCACUUAAUUUUCACCACUUGUGCACUCCAUGAACUCCGAUGCAUGCACCACCAUGCGCUUGCAUACUUUCUUUGCAGGCAGGAUAGCAGCAAUAAACAAAUGGGGAAGUUCAAAGCAUUGUAACAGAAAAAGCCCACACGGACGGGCCAGUGGCCGUCUGCUAACAAGCAAAGUGUGUCGCGCACAUGACGAGCAAGAGUUGCACUAGUACAAAAACGACCUUCCAUCCUCAACAAAAUCUCAGUUGUUUUUGGACCCGGGACUGAAGAGGAUUUAGUCCCUGGUCUAAAUUUUGUAGUCCGUGGAGACACCUUCAAUCCCGGUUGGUGUUACCAACCAGGACUAAAGGAGAUCUUUAGUUCCAGGUGAAAGACCUGGGAGUAAAGAUGGGGACCUUUAGUCCCGGUUGGGAAAACCAAGAUAUAUGAGGUUUUCCAACCGGGACUAAUGCUCAUUUUUCUACCAGUGUUGCACAAGAAAGCUAAACGACACCCGCGAAUUACGGUUGCUCAAAAUGCAAAAACUUCAUCGCCCAGGUUCCAAAUCGCAAGUGGCGAAAGAUGGGGAGGCAUCAUUCACUCAUUGUCGGUCGCUGCAGCAAGCCUCCUCGUCGGAUCGGUGCCCACGGCCUCAAGCUGCUCGUAAACUUCCUUUUCUAUUUCUCUCCGCUGCAGCAUCCUCCCGGAAUCUUGUUUUGCUCCAAAUUUUAAUGGUAUGCAACUAAUUUUCUACACGAAUAUUUUGGGUGCAAAUCGAUUUGUUUGAAGUAAUAAGGUAGUGUUUCAAUUUUUUUGUCACCAAUUCUGGUUCAUUCAUUUAAAUUGCAAUGUUAGGAUCUACAUUUAGAGGUUUUGCUUUUGCAAAUUGCAACAAAUGGGCAACUAAGAAAGGAUCCAUCAAUAUUUGAGACUUGGGGAAUUGGAGUAAUAUACAAAAUCAUGUAAUUGGGGAAUUGGUGUAAUAAAAUUGGAAAUAUGUAUUUUUCAUCUCUUAGGUAUUUUGGAAGUGUCCCUCAUGUUUUAAUUGGUGUAAAUUGAUCCCUUAAUUUAUUAUAUCGGUGCACUAAUCAUCCUAACACUUUUUCCUACAAUAUUUGGUCAGAUAAGCAUUUUUUCCGUUACCGCUUUGUCAUUGUAUAGGUUAGACAUAGAUUUUUAUACAUGUACGUAUUGAAGUGUGCACCCAGAUCGUCCAUGCUCUAGCUUCACCCCUGGGGGCAGUGGAGCAACAGGAGGCGACAAAGAAGGAGCAAGAUGUAGCUGCUCGCAUUCUCAUCACCACGGCCCUCUGCCGGUGAGGGUGCCAUGCCCUCUCCUUCCUCUCGUCUUCCCUAUCUCUCUCUCCAAGAAUAUUGUAUUUUUUCAAUGUUGCAAUGGAUGAUUGGAGAUGUUGGGUGUUCGCAAAUGUUGCACGAGAUGAUCUUUGACGUUGCGAGGUUGAUUUUUAGUUUGUUUUAUUUCCACAUUCGAUUUUUUGAUGCUACAAUAGUUAGCCUGAGAUAUUGCAUUGGAGAUACUUUGAUGUUGCAUGGCUGAUAGACGGUGAUUUUGUUCUGGAAUCGAAACGAUGCGAUAGUAAAAUUAGCGAUGUUGCAUCAGAUGAUUUUUGAUGUUUCAUAUAGUGAUUUAAGAUAUUACAAUAGUUGGUUUGGGAUGUUGCACCUUACAAUGCUGCAACAAAUAGCAUAGCUGAAUGUUGCACGAAACAUGCUACAUAUAUGUUGCGGUGGGGUAUUUUUUUCUAUAUGGCAAAGAUAUGAAAGCAAUGAGGUAUUUUGAUGUUGCGAACGCUGUUAUUUUUUUUGCAAACGUCUUUUUCCCGUGUCGUAGAAGUUGUUUACUCGUGUUGCAAGGAAGUGAUCGUGAGAUUUUACGCUGUUAUUUUUUUUGCAAACGUCUUUUUCCCGUGUCGUAGAAGUUGUUUACUCGUGGUGCAAGGAAGUGAUCGUGAGAUUUUUUCAGGAAACCACCUUCCGAUGCUAGCGCCCGGACGCUAGCAAGUCCGUAACUUUUUUUCAUAGAACUAUGCGCUCGUGCAGUUUCACACAUGCUUCAUCGAGCACUAAGGAGUGAACCUUAGUAUUGCUCAGCCGAUCGAAUGAUCGAUCAUACUACGUCUGCAUGUCGAGAAAGUAGAUACUCUGGUGUGCAAACAAGAGGGGGACACUUCGCAGAUUACUAACAAAACAGCUAACUUAUAACAUGGAGAAUGUGCAGCCAAAAGCAGGCCAGCAACUCGUUCACGAGGAAAAUGUUAAGACCAUCCGAUACAAGGUAGCUCAAAACUUAUAAAUCCAUGAAAUCUGUUGCUAGCAUCACAAACAAAGCACAAAACAGGUUGCACGGCCAGGUUGCGUCUGCUUCUGCACGAAAUUACAGCCUCCUUCCCCUCCUACCACCCUUCCUUCGCGUGCUGUCAGUUGGGACUGGAGUCACAUCCUCUGCAUAACAAACAACACAGGGGAUGGUGAAACGGUUAAUCUUAAGUCGAAAUCAAAAAGGAAAGUAUGAGUUCAUGAACACUAGUGGCAGCAUGCAAACCGGAGGAUAAGAAUGUGUGAAUCCCAUUGUGUGACAAAUUUGCAUUUUGCACAGAAACAGGAAGGGAAGAACCACUAACAUCAAAUGCAGAUAAAAUGCUUCAUUGAUUUCUUAUUAAUUAAAAAAUAUUAACAGCAUGCUCACCAAUGCGUCCAAUCUUCAUGCCAGAACGUGCAAGAGCCCUAAGCGCAGACUGAGCACCAGGGCCCGGAGUCUUUGUCUUGUUUCCACCAGUAGCACGGAGCUUAAUGUGCAGAGCAGUGAUUCCAAGCUCCUAAGGAGGGCAUAUGCACAGUAAGUAUCAAACAACAGUUGACAAAUCAAUAUUUGAACUAGCAGCUCGGUACCUUGCAUCUCUGUGCAACAUCCUGAGCUGCAAGCAUAGCUGCGUAAGGGGAUGACUCGUCACGGUCAGCUUUGACCUUCAUGCCACCUGCCAAAAAAGAUUAUGAAAUCGUGAAUGUAAAUUAGUAAUAUAAAAUAAGUCUGACAGCAUUCGACAAAGUGUGAUUAUAAGGAUCUAUGCACUUGACAAAGUGUGAUAAAAUUAUAAUGGAACCAAAGUUAAUGUGAAUUGCAAGGCAACUACAGAAAAUAUCUUGUAAUGUAAAAUACAUGACCAACAUAGCAUAUAUCCACCAUCCACUUUCACACAGUUUUGGGAAUGGGUUAGGAGAUAUAUGCCACAAAACAAAAAUAUUCACUUUGCUGGCCUGUCAGCAAUCUGCUGGGCAAUAUGGAAAACUAGGAAUGCAGUUUGUUUUGAGAAAAAACAGAUUAAACCUCCUACAGAGGUUGUCUGCUUAGCUUCUUUUUUUAUAUCAUACUGGGCAGGCCUCCAGAAGCAGGAUGACAAGCAGGACAUGGAGGCGGGAGCAGAAGCGCUGAAGGAGGCGGCGCUGCACUUCCAUCCUCGUGAAGGAACAGUGGAAGACACGGGUUCAGGGGUGGUGCUGCUGCGUUGAAAGAAAAGGAUGGUAGCUCGCGCCCACUGCUUUCUGAAGAGUAGCCCCCCAGCUGUUGAGCUGAAGGAGGCGGCGCUGCACUUCCAUCCUCGUGAAGGAACAGUGGAAGACGUGGGUUCAGGGGUGGUGCUGCUGCGUUGAAAGAAAAGGAUGGUAGCUCGCGCCCACUGUUUUCUAAAGAGUAGCCCCCUAGCUGUUGAGCUGCUUUUGUUUCUCUUUUCUUCUGGUAGUUACUGGUGGAAUUCUUGUAAUCCAGAGUAGGUCCCUGGUGAAUGUUCUUCUCCAACCGGGUCAGCCCUUUGUGUCUGUCAUGCUGGUUACUUUCUUUUCAGGUGUAGAGUCACUGUGUGAACCUGUGACGUCUGUUCUAAAACUCUGUAAUUUCGUUGCUUGUUGGUAAUAAAAUUCGGGCGAGGCCCUUAGUGGAAAAAACAUAGCAUAUAUCAUCUAUAAACCAAAAGGUCAAACGAAGUUAAUGUGAAUAGAAACCAAAGCUACAAAGAUGUAGAAGUAAUCAGAUUGCAGAAUUAAGGAACAAAAUAGGAUAGUUAUAAUCAGGUUAAAGAAAGUACAGGCAGCUUAAUCAGGUAAAGUUGACCGAGUAAACAAAACCAAUCAGCCAGCUGAAAUCAUUCUGAUGAUCUAGUAAAAUACACUGAUCAGCUUAGUUACUCAAGGACCAGUCACAUUGUCAACAACCAUCAAGAAAAAAGUGCACUACAAAUUCCUAAGAAAAUUCACACUAAGAUACAAGCUUAAGACAUGAAAUAUUAUCCAGCUUUGCUCCAGUAGAAGCACAUACCUCUGUACUACCAUCUACUGGAUACCAUUAUUAUACAUAUAAAAAGGCUGACAAAGGUGCAAAGCUAAAUUCUUUUCAAACAGAAGGAUACUUUGUGAUGUUCACUUCAAUUAAGCCUACCACUUAAUGUACCAAAGGUUUGCAAGGGAUAUGGAGAGGCAACACAGAAGAGCAGCAGCAUGCUGACGCUUCCUAAAGGAAAUGCAAUGCUAAGAUGGAGACACCUGGAACUAAAUGUGCAGACAAAGAAAAGAUAAAAACUCUGGUAGAUCUUGUGAAUUUUAACAUGGCUUGACAUGCUACCACAAAAUGAAAGCAAACCAUCUUAAAAGGCACACUUGCAAAUAAUAUUGACAACCAGAAAAAUCAAACACUGAUGGCAAGAACAAGUGACUUGGGAAGAUCUGUGAUGGCUUUGUUAACAUUGCAACCUUGCGCGAAGGAUACAGCUGGCAGCAUGUCACAGCAUGCACCACCAGCUCUGGUUUAAAAGGUAAGGAGGAAGAGAAGUGGGUGGCUGGGAGAUUGUAUGGUUUGGUCACACAUUUCAGUUAUUGUAUAACUAAACAGGAUAAAACUUGACAACUGUGAGGUUUAGUUGAAAAGGUUUUACUUACCUACUAUAGAUAUAGAUACAACUAUACAGGUGAAAAAAAAAUCAUGGAAUUCUGUCUGAAAACAUAUUCACUUCCAAAACCAAGACAUCUCCAUUUGACUUGGCAAAGAGUUGCGGGAGUGAUGCACUCAGCAGGAGCAUUGCAGAAAGCAGUGACUACCUACUGACCAUACACUACAGGAAACUCAAUGCCAGGAUGAAGACACCUGGAACUGAAACAGGAAGAGAAGUAGUUACAGAGAAAAACUCUCUGCAACCUGGUGGUCAAUUUUGCAUGGCAAUGACUCGACACGCUCCCACACAGAAAAAGGGAGGCGAUCUUAAGGGCCAUGCAUACAACGCAAACUCACAAGAUCAGUGACUAAAACAGCAAACUUUAAGUAUGUAAUAUCACAAAUAAAAGAUAAUCAAUAUCCUGUGGCUAUACAACACAUACCUCAAUGCAACAAAGUAUCAGAAGUUUUGUAACAAAGAAGCAUCACAGACUGUCAUGGCACAUACUAACAAAGGACAACGCCUAGCAUAUAGGGCCUAGCAUGGUCCUCUUUGGAGAAUAGUAGUCCCAAGGCUAAACCACCAAGUCACUGGCACACUUGUAUGUAAAUUAAAACUACCUCGUUGAAUUGCUUUCCAGGUGUGCAAGAAUUCCAACCUUCACCCCUAGCUACCAGUACAUGAUAAGCUACCUUAUUAUCUUACAAGCUACAACAUCAACAAAACAUUUCAGGAGAUAAAAUAUAGAUUGCACCAAAGAGCACCAAGCAUUCCAAAUCCAGAACAGCAACUCUUACUCUAAAUGAUCAUGAAUCAUGUCCAUAACGCAUGGUCUAGCCACUCAGUACAACACAAAUGUCAUACGCAAGGAUCCCACUUCACAUAACAAAGAAGAUCAACAGAAGCACCAAUUACUACUAGUGUGGUUGAUUUUACACUAGUGUUGCACACAACCAGCAAGACUAGCAUUAGUGAUAACGAUACCAACUUUAUGACAAAAGCCAGCGUUUCCAGAAGAGGAUUUAUUAC